rnacentral:rRNA from 1 species
UACGUAGGGUGCGAGCGUUAUCCGGAAUUAUUGGGCGUAAAGAGCUCGUAGGCGGUUUGUCGCGUCUUGUCGUGAAAGUCCGGGGCUUAACCCCGGAUCUGCGGUGGGUACGGGCAGACUAGAGUGCAGUAGGGGAGACUGGAAUUCCUGGUGUAGCGGUGGAAUGCGCAGAUAUCAGGAGGAACACGGAUGGCGAAGGCAGGUCUCUGGGCUGUAACAUGACGCUGAGGAGCGAAAGCAUGGGGAGCGAACAGG